CUAGUAACGGCGAGUGAAGCGGGAAGAGCUCAAAUUUGUAAUCUGGCACUUUCAGUGUCCGAGUUGUAAUCUCGAGAAGUAUUUUCCGCGCCGGACCGCAUACAAGUCUGUUGGAAUACAGCGUCAUAGUGGUGAGAACCCCGUAACUGAUGCGGAUGCCCGGUGCUUUGUGAUAUACUUUCGAAGAGUCGAGUUGUUUGGGAAUGCAGCUCAAAUUGGGUGGUAAAUUCCAUCUAAAGCUAAAUAUUGGAGCAAGACCGAUAGCGAACAAGUACCGUGAGGGAAAGAUGAAAAGCACUUUGGAAAGAGAGUUAACAGUACGUGAAAUUGUUGGAAGGGAAACGCUUGAAGUCAGACUUGCUAUUCGGAGUUCAGCCGCAAGGUGUAUUCUUCGAUUUGCAGGCCAGCAUCAGUUUUUGGGGGUGGAAAAUCGUGGUUUGAAGGUAGCAGUUUCGGCUGUGUUAUAGCUUUCCACUGGAUUCAUC
rnacentral:rRNA from 1 species